GAUGUCUGCAGCUCCACCACCAUCAACUUCCUCUUCAUCAGCAUCCUCACCAUCCUCCUCAGCUCCUGCUUUUUUGGCUCCACGGGUAGGAGCAGGAGGAGAUUGACCCUGCAUCUAUGAAUAAAAGGGCUGGUUUUUCAUCUUCAAAGAACAUGCGGAGCGGAGCUCCCAUAUACAGGAACAUGACUCCUAACAGAGUAAUCGCUGAAGUCCUCACAGCCUAAAAAUAACAUGAAAGCUUAUUACACACACCAUUACAAGUGAGGUCUGACAAAUAAGUAACCAUCCAAGACAUUGUCCUCUAGAAAGAGGGGUACAAUUAAAAAUCAUUGCAACUAUACUAGCAGAACUGCUUACCGGAUUUGUGGCACCCAGAGCAGUUUUAACAUUGUUGAUGAAUGCCUUCACAUUUAUUCUGAAAUACGAGGAACAAGUUUUAAGAGUUACAUGAUACAAAAAAUAAACAGACCAAAAUAAAAAAAAAA